rnacentral:rRNA from 1 species
GCCUACAGCCAUGCCACCCUGAACAAGCCCGAUGUCUGAUCUCGGAAGCUAGGCAGGGUCGAGGCUGGUUAGACCACCUAGGACAACGAGGUGCUGUAGGCA